ensembl:lincRNA
CAAUCAUACCUUGUAACACAAGAAAUAUAUUGCCUUUAGUAAUGGCAGCACUUGGGAAGGUAUGUCUUCUCUAGUGCUGAAAUUUAUCUACCUAUAGCUUCCACUUGUUCCUAGAUUGAUUUUCUGUAGCCUCCUGCAUACACUGAAACACUAGCUUGGCGUUUGGCAUUCUUCAGUUGUUAUCCUGCGAACAACUCCUGACCAAAGGUAUCCUCCUACCCCACCCCUCUCUGGCCUCUCUCCUCUUCCUCUCUCUUGCUGUUCCUCUGCUCUGCUGUCUGGCAACCGUGCACUGAGCAUCUUUACUCCAUCACACCCUCCACAGUGCUGCUUCUGUAAUGGAGCCAGUUGACCAUGGACUGAAUCCCCUGACAGCCCAAGUAAGCCUCUCCUCGUUGAAGUUGAUGUGUUGAAUUCUGUGUCUCAGAGAUAGGAAAGCUGACUAGUACACCAGACAGUGCCACCAUUCCAUCCGUGCUCCUUCACAGUGUGCUGGGACCAUGGUCUAUCCAUUUUCCUGUCUGUCAUUUCAUGGCCACAAGAGAAAGCGGGGACUGCCCGCUGCCCCAUCCUGCUUGUGAAGUGUGCCAGGCGGAAGAGUGUACGAGGGUGGUGGGAGCAGCCCAUGGGAAUGAAAGCCAUCUGCACCACUUCACUGAAGACGAUGCUCCACACAAAGACAGACCAGAACCAUGUCCAGAAGUUUAACGCUGAUGUCAUUCAGGAAGGAGGAAGGACUCCAAGACACCCUGAGUCACACUCCUCCUCCUCCUCUAGCAGCUGAACUCCUGGCCUUGAAGGCAAGAACUCCACUUGGCCGUGAUGGUUUCCCGGACACAGAUGCUUAUGAGCAAGGCCCCACCCACACCAGGAGGAAGUUGUGGGUGAUCUUCUUGCAGCAAGCAGAGGAUAUAGAGGAGCUAUCUUAUCUGCAGAGGAGAAGAAAAAGAUUAAAAGAUGACUUCUUCCUACUCUCCGGAUGGGAGGAGAUAUCUGCUUGCAUUUCUGCUUUGUUUUAA